CAGAGCCCCACGGAGCUCCUGCAGGGGGGCACGUUUCACCCGCACCUUCCGCACUUUAGCGGCGCUCCCGGCUCCCGCACCGCCAACCGGCAAAGCAAACCAAAAUACCUGCUCCGGCCACGGGAAGCCAAGGCGCUGCCAGCUGCCGGCGCAGCCCCGCGGCCGAGGGGAAAUGGGCAGAAGCGGCUAUUUUAGCAAUAAUGGCUGAAGCGCCUUCAGUCCGGCUGCUGGGACGGAAACGCCAAAGAAAAGCUGGAGAGGGGUCUGUAAGCAUGGUGCUUUCCUUCUGGAGCCAGGCAAAGGCUGGGGACCCAAAAGGCAGAAGCUAGUGGUGGCUAGAGCAAGACAGAAUGAAAUAGAGGACCUGGGAAAGACAGGAUUCCACAAACUAAAAACUCAGAACUGAGUGCUGGAAGAAGUUUCCCUGAUAAUUGAAGUGCUCUUGUUAUCAAUAUAAGCCCGGCUAGAAGAAAACACCUUCAGAGCUGGAUUUGACUCCAGCCAGUGCUUAGAUCCUGGAAGAAGAUCCAAUGCUAUAGGAUUCUUUCAUUCCAUACAACUGAAAACCACAUGGUGACACAACCCAAGACCAAGAGGUUCAUUUCCUGAAAGCUCAGAGAAAUGAGAGGAUCCGGGGAUGCUGCGCAUGACCCAAAACAAAGUUUUUCUUCUCCCUGUGCCUAAACAAAACCUUUGAUAGCCCAGCACCUCAGGCCAUACACAGCAAAUCAGUUGGCAUCACAGGCUGGUUUGGCAAAGAUUUUCUAUGGAUGCUACUGAAAAUAAAACUGAGAAAAGCACAGCCUCAGCAGGCACAGUCCUACACACAGCCUGGCACAACAAUCUGCCAUAGAGGGCUGUAUACCCUGAAGAAAUUCUUAUACAUGUAUUCACUGUCAGCAUGUUUCAGUUCAUCUUCCUGUCUGAAAUAGACUGCUAUUAACCCUGCACAAUCUCAUUUUCUUCCCAAAAGUUAAUCUAGGUUUACUUUUACAUAAAGAAACACAUUUUCCGCACAAAACCUGCAGAGAAAGGGUAAAGGAGGCCUUGCUUUGUGGGAAGCAUCGUUCUCCUGGUGCCUAGCCAAAGCUUUGCCAAACUGAAGCAUUGACGCCUUAUUUUUCUUGUCAGCAGAGCUCUGAAGUCAUGGAGGGAGGAGCUGAUCAUCCCUUGUGUGCUUUUCUCAACAGAGGGCAAAGUGGAAGCUGCACCCCCUCGUUUGGGCAGCUCCUCAGGGCAGCCAUGCUGAGCAACUCAUGCAUAUUUGGGUGAAGAGCAGGUCCCUGCCUUCCUCGCUGCAGGGCAGCAUGGCUGUAACACAUGCUGGAGGCACAAAUCUCUGCUGUCAUCAGGGCCAGCUUAUCCAAUUUGCUCUCCAAAGAAUUCCACAUUGCUGUUCCGUUUUUAUUAUAUCCGUGCUAGGCUGCAAAACUGGCCCCUCAUCUCGGCAGCAUCCCCCAAGGAGCUGACAGGUUCUCAGGAUCUCCUCGAGUGCCUUGGGGGCCAGGGCCGGAGCAGCAGUGAAAUACACUGCUUAGCUCCUGACUCCCAGCACAGCAAAGAGCGUGCAUAAUGAAAGUAGAAGACAUCCUUUCUUUGCGCGCAGGAAAAUCCCUGUAUUCAGUAAACAAAUAGCACCGUGAGAAGCAUUCCAGGGGUUGUCUUCUUUAUACAAGGAAAAAAUAAUGUUUUUCUAAAUGAAUUUGCCUUCUCAUAAAUGCAAGCUUGGUCUAAUCUGUGCAUGUUUUAGCCUAGAGAGAGGCCCUGCCCUCUAGGAAAUGCUGCUCAUUUGUGCAGAGUAAAUUAGCUACAUGAUAUGUUGCAUUUUCCAAAUGCUGAAAAGCUUUGGCUCCUCAUUUCCUUUUAACUGGAAUAUUUUCUCAGGUUUAUAAGACCAAAUACUGUAUUUUGCUCUAGUCUGUGCUUUCAGAUGUAAUAUGCUCAUGCUAUUUGAACUGAAGCCACUAUGUCAUUGCUGAAUACCCAUGUUAAAAUCUGCAUAUAUAAUAAAGGUAUACACAUGAACUUAUAUAAAUAUUAUGCAUACAUGCAUUAGAUACAUAUGUAUCCCAUUUUAAAAAUUAAUUGCUAAGGAUCCUUUUAUUUUUUCAGCCAUACAGA